AUGCCAAAGGUGACUCCUCCAACAGAAAUCCUUGCUGCACUAAAGAAGGUACCAGAUUUGGAGGAUAGUGAUAUGCUGAGAGCUUAUGGAAAAUUGAUCGUCAAUGAGCGUUUGUUUGAAGCACUCAUGGCGCUACCUGAGGAGUUAAGGAAGCCAUGGCUCUUGACCAUCGAUUGA
rnacentral:rRNA from 1 species